AGCGAACGCUGGCGGCAGGCCUAACACAUGCAAGUCGAACGAACUCUUCGGAGUUAGUGGCGGACGGGUGAGUAACACGUUGGAACGUGCCUUUUGGUUCGGAAUAACUCAGGGAAACUUGUGCUAAUACCGAAUGUGCCCUUCGGGGGAAAGAUUUAUCGCCAUUAGAGCGGCCCGCGUCUGAUUAGCUAGUUGGUGAGGUAACGGCUCACCAAGGCUACGAUCAGUAGCUGGUCUGAGAGGAUGACAAGCCACACUGGGACUGAGACACGGCCCAGACUCCUACGGGAGGCAGCAGUGGGGAAUCUUGCGCAAUGGGCGAAAGCCUGACGCAGCCAUGCCGGGUGAAUGAUGAAGGUAUUAGGAUUGUAAAAUUCUUUCACCGGGGAAGAUAAUGACGGUACCCGGAGAAGAAGCCCCGGCUAACUUCGUG
rnacentral:rRNA from 1 species